AAAUUGUAGAUUACAAUAAAAUCUAGUUUCGACCUAGAUAAGGCAUAAUAGCAUAAUCUA
rnacentral:tRNA from 1 species